GACGAACGCUGGCGGCGCGCUUAGCGCAUGCAAGUCGAACGGAAAGGCCUGCUUUCCCUUGUGGAUUGCGGGUACUCGAGUGGCGAACGGGUGAGUAACACGUGAGUGAUCUGCCCCCAACUUGGGUAUAAGCCUGGGAAACUGGGUCUAAUUCCCGAUAGGACUGCAGGGUGGUGCCUGUGGUGGAAAACGAUUUUCUAGUGGUUGGGGAUGAGCUCGCGGCCUAUCAGCUUGUUGGUGGGGUAAUGGCCUACCAAGGCGGCGACGGGUAGCCGGCCUGAGAGGGUGGACGACCACAUUGGGACUGAGAUACGGCCCAGACUCCUACGGGAGGCAGCAGUGGGGAAUAUUGCACAAUGGGCGGAAGCCUGAUGCAGCGACGCCGCGUGGGGGAUGACGGCCUUCGGGUGGUAAACUCCUUUCGACCGCGAGGAAGCCACCUGGUUGGAAGGGUGGUGACGGUAGUGGUAGAAGAAGCACCGGCUAACUACGUG
rnacentral:rRNA from 1 species